ACAAUGGGAGUGGGGUAGGAGUUCUACAGUGUCUCGAGCAUAUGAUUGGGGCAGUGAGAAGCAAAGUGCUGGAGAUUCACAGCCAUUUCCCACACAAACCCAUUAUCUUGAUUGGCUGGAACACAGGAGCUUUGGUGGCCUGUCAUGUGUCAGUAAUGGAGUAUGUCACUGCAGUUGUCUGCCUUGGGUUUCCUCUGCUUACUGUGGAUGGCCCCAGAGGGGAUGUAGAUGAUCCCCUCUUGGAUAUGAAGACUCCAGUCCUCUUUGUCAUUGGUCAGAAUUCCCUUCAAUGUCACCCUGAAGCCAUGGAGGACUUCCGGGAGAAGAUUCGAGCUGAGAACAGCUUGGUGGUGGUUGGGGGAGCUGAUGACAAUCUCAGGUGGGUGGAUUCUCCCAGAGCUGCAAGAGAGCUGUGUUACAGUGUUAGAGAUAAGCCUGUAAGCUGGCAAUGUAACUACAGACCAGUCUGGUUCAGUUAAAAGACAGCAUUAGCCGGGCGCGGUGGCUCACGCCUGUAAUCCCAGGACUUUGGGAGGCUGAGGCAGGCGGAUCACGAGGUCAGGAGAUUGAGACCAUCCUGGCUAACACGGUGAAACCCCGUCUCUACUAAAAAUACAAAAAAUUAGCCGGGCGUGGUGUCGGGUGCCUGUAGUCCCAGCUACUCGGGAGGCUGAGGCAGGAGAAUGGUGUGAACCCAGAAGGCGGAGCUUGCAGUGAGCCGAGAUCCUGCCACUGCACUCCAGCCUGGGUGACAGAGCAAGAC
rnacentral:sRNA from 1 species